UAAGCUUAGGGGAAGCUGAGGGAGACUGC
rnacentral:piRNA from 1 species